UCUUGGUCAGAAGAUACCCUUAUACUUAUUUAACGCAUGAUCUAACAGUAUCAGGCUGAAUUCUUAUUCCCACCACAGGAACACCACCUUUCAGCCUCUGUUACUGUAACAAAUGUUGCCUACAUUUUUUUUUGGGUAUGACCAGACACAUUAUUGUUACCCAGGAAUCCUCUUGUGUGGAAAUGAAGAAAAUCAAUUUCAUUUCCCCAAAGAGGAAGUAAAGUGUCUCAGGUCUGGCAGUUGCUCUUUUAUCAGAGGGGUUUUGAAUGUAUUAAAAUGAGAAGGACAAGAAAUUGAGUGAAGAUUCUGUGUCUCAGAACUGCCUAGGGAUACUUUGAGAGUGACGGAGGUGCCCCGAAGUGGAGAACGGAAUUGAGUCUGCAUCAACUCACAUUAUUAUGGUUGUAUCAGGUUAAAAAAUAAGCAGUGUAACAACCAGAAUGUCUGAUGUGGUCCA
rnacentral:lncRNA from 1 species